rnacentral:lncRNA from 1 species
GCCAAAUUGCAGGUGUGUAUUCAUGAGUAGUGACUCACAGAUGGUGGAGAUGAGGUUGUAGUUUCUGCGCAUCGCUGGCAUGGUGCUGCCACAGACAGCGCAUCAAGAGUACGUAGACAACCACAUUGGUGACUGGAUGAGUCCUGAGCUUGCUGAUCAACGAUAUUAUCGUAGAUGAUGAAAGCUAUGGACGUUGCCAGUGGAAACACAAUGUUUUGCGCACGUGUUCACCCAAAUCAUCUCGAUCGAGGACGAGCUUGACCUGCCUACUCU